GUCUACGGCCAUACCACCCUGAACGAGCCCGAUCUCGUCUGAUCUCGGAAGCUAAGCAGGGUCAGGCCUGGUUAGUACUUGGAUGGGAGAAAUUACUUUAACGUUACUUGUGUCUCAAUCC
rnacentral:rRNA from 1 species